GUGCUUGCUUUGGGAGUACAUACACUAAAAUUGGAGGAAUACAGAGAAGAUUAGCAUGGCCCCACUCAAGGGUGACAUGCAAAUUCAUGAAUCAUCCCAUUUUUUA
ensembl:snRNA U6 U6 spliceosomal RNA